rnacentral:lncRNA from 1 species
AAGGAUGUACAUUUUAUCUUAUCAUUCGAACUAUUUCAAUUACUGACUUAUUUAAUCAUUUUGCGAUCGGACAUGGUUUGUAGAGUGAAAAUUGCAUCACCUUAGAAAAUUUUAAAAAAAUUAUUAAACAUUUCACAUACUAACUAUGAUUUUCACGCAGGGUUUUUGUAACAGGUAAGCCAGUGAUACAGUUUUCAACCAUUUUUACUAAUAAUCGGUCAGUCAAUGCUUUCAAAUACAGUUAUAUGGAACCUGUUUUGAGCCCUUUUAACACGAAGUCUGGUGGAAUCACUGACAGAGUGCCAGAUAGGGGAGCCGUAAGUCAGUAUGAGUCUUAUAGUGGGAUGGAUUAUAGAACUUGCCAAGAAAGGUUUUCCUCGGAAAAAAAAGGACAUAACAUCGAGUGUUCAACAAUUUCUGAAAACGUAUCCUCGACCAAAUCCAUUCAAUAAUGAUAGCCAGGGGAUUGUUGGUUAAAAGCUGUCCUUAAACGGCACCCUGAAAUUGUAGAAAGAACAACAGAGGCUGUUACUUCAGCGAGUGCACGCGUUUCCGAAAAUGACAUACGAAACUGGUUCAAAGAUAUCGAAAAAUAUAUUAUGGAAAAAAUUUGAGUGAUGUUAAAUAGGAUCCUUCAAGAAUAUUUAAUCGAGACGAAACUGGUUUCCAGAUUUGUACACAGAGUGGCAAAUUUUUGGCUCCAAAAGGUUGCAAGAAUAUUUAUACCGUUGAUCGCGGUUCAUCCAAGGAGAAUAUUACGGUGAUGUUUACAUUAUCUGCUGAUGGGAACACAUGCAGUCCUAUGGUCGUCUUACCCUAUCAGACGAUUCCUGAAAGAGUAGCAAUGAUCAUUCCAGAAGGCUGGGGAAUUGGCCGAAGUGAAAAUGGGUGGAUGACAUCUCAAACGUUUUAUG